rnacentral:tRNA from 1 species
GUGAUAUUGGUGAAAUGGUUAACACAGUGGAUUGUGAAUCCAACAUUUGCAAGUUCAAUUCUUGUAUAUCACC